GGAGGUAUAGCUCAGCCGGGAGAGCAGUCGAACGAAAUCAUCAGGUCUCCAAUUCUGUUCAUCUGAAAAGGUCCUGCGUUCGAGUCGCAGUACCCCCU